AUUUAUAUAGUUUAAAAUAAAACAUUACAUUUUCACUGUAAAAAUAAUAUUCUAUAUUUAUAAUUA
rnacentral:tRNA from 1 species